CAGUAGCCGCGGUAAUACGUAGGUGGCGAGCGUUGUCCGGAUUUAUUGGGCGUAAAGGGAGUGUAGGCGGUCUUUUAAGUCUGAUGUGAAAGCCCACGGCUCAACCGGGGAGGGUCAUUGGAAACUGGGAAACUUGAGUGCAGAAGAGGAGAGUGGAAUUCCACGUGUAGCGGUGAAAUGCGUAGAGAUGUGGAGGAACACCAGUGGCGAAGGCGACUCUCUGGUCUGUAACUGACGCUGAGGAGCGAAAGCGUGGGGAGCGAACAGGAUUAGAUACCCCGGUAGUCCCUGUCUCUUAUAC
rnacentral:rRNA from 1 species